AAAUGAAGCAAUUUGGUUUCAUGAGAAUGAUUUGGAAAUCUUAGCUAGUUUUCCAGGAGUUAAGAAGAGCUGCUUUUAGUGUAUUAACACUAAAUUUUUUCCAAGUUGCAAGUUUGCCUGCUAGAACCAUAUUGUUCAACUGGCCCUCCACUUCUAUUUCUAAGCUUAGCUGAAGUGUCUUACCCUGGCAGUUCAAUUCUUGGGUUUUCUGUAUCAGCUCGGUAAUCGACUCAACAAGGUUUGAUAUAUUAGGAUAAGAGUAAAGGCUAUUUGUGAGGUUCGGUGAUGUGAUAGGAAGGUGGUACAGAGCAUAUGAGUAAUGGUAUUGGAGGGGAAUAUGGAUGGUUAGGUAAAAAGUAUUUACGGUGGCUGUGGUGGGUGGGUGUAUGAAACCUGUGGAAAAAACUUUGAAAAGAUUGUCGUUGACAAUAAGGUUCAGAGAGAAAGUAUCAUGGGAAACAAAACCACGAAGAAGACCAUGAAGAAGAAGACAUCUUAGAACAGAGCCGGGCAUGUACCAAGAGAGAAGGGCUACCCCUCGAAAAAAAAAAUUCACUUUCUUCGACUACCUAUACAUCCUGGGAUUUGGUCUACGCAGGUUUCUGACAUCAUAAAAUCACAACAUAUAUAUAUAUUCCGUAAAGUUGAUGGU
rnacentral:misc_RNA from 1 species